GCCAGGUGUGGUAGUGUGUGCCUGUAGUCCCAGCUACUUGGGAGGCUGAGGCAGGAGGAUCACUCGAACCCAGGAGUUUGAGGCUGCAAUGAGCUAUGAUUGCGUCACUGCACUCCAGCCUGGGUGACAAGGUGAGACCCUGUCUCUU
ensembl:misc_RNA Metazoa_SRP Metazoan signal recognition particle RNA